rnacentral:rRNA from 1 species
CGGCGGACGGGUGAGUAACGCGUACGAAUCUACCUAGUAGUGGGGGAUAACAUGGUGAAAACCAUGCUAAUACCGCAUACGUCCUACGGGAGAAAGAGGGGGACCAUUUGGCCUCUUGCUAUUAGAUGAGCGUGCGUAAGAUUAGCUAGUUGGUGGGGUAAAGGCCUACCAAGGCGACGAUCCGUAGCUGGUCUGAGAGGAUGAUCAGCCACAUCGGGACUGAGACACGGCCCGA